AUACGUAGGGGGCGAGCGUUGUCCGGAAUGAUUGGGCGUAAAGGGCGCGUAGGCGGCCCGGUAAGUCUGGAGUGAAAGUCCUGUUUUUAAGAUGGGAAUUGCUUUGGAUACUGUCGGGCUUGAGUGCAGGAGAGGUAAGUGGAAUUCCCAGUGUAGCGGUGAAAUGGGGAGAGAUUGGGAGGAACCUCAGUGGCGACGGCGACUUACGGGGCUGUAACUGACGCUUAGGCGCGAAAGUGUGGGGAGCAAACAGGAUUAGAUACCCUGGUAGUCCACACUGUAAACGAUGAAUUCUAGGUGUAGGGGGUAUCGACCCCUUCUGUGCCGCAGGCAACACAAUAAGCAUUCCGCCUGGGGAGUACGGCCGCAAGGUUGAAACUCAAAUGAAUUGACGGGG
rnacentral:rRNA from 1 species